UUCCUGGAUGGGCUGCUGUGCACGUGGGCGCCAAGCUCUGAGACUCAGUGAGGGUGAUGGGUCAGUACAACCACGCGGACGAUCCUGGAAUGCUUCGUGGCUCCCAGAGACAUCUUCGCGUUUGUGGGGUCGACUCUCCAGCCAACCCCACGGGGCAGUGUGGUUAUGACGUCACAGAGGAGGAGCCCGCGGGGCAGGGCCUUGAGCGACUUCCAAAUUCACGGCAAAUGAAAGGCAGAGCGCACCUCGCCGUCCGAGCUUCCUCCCCGCGGGGCCACGCUCCAAGGUCUUAGGAAAAUAUAGAAACAAAACCAAACCCGGCCGGUGUGGCUCCGUGGGUUGGGCGUGGUCCCAGGCACUGGAAGGUCGCCAGUUCCAUCCCCAGUCAGGGCACGUGUCCGAGUUGGGGGCUCGAUCCCCAGCAGGGGGCGUGCAGGAGGCGGCCAAUCGAUCGAUGUUCAACUCUCACAUCAGUGUUUCUCUCUCCCUCUCCCUUCCUCUCUCUCAGAACAUCAGUUUACACAUCUCUAAAAAAUGACCUCCGUUGAGGACUCGGGCCUUCAACGUGGACGAGAGGCGUCUGAACCACGUCAGCAGGACCAUUUUUAAGGAAACGAAAAGGCAUUUGCUAGAACGUCCCGGGUGAAUCCUCCUGCUGUUCCUUCAUGACUUGUUCCGCGUCGUCGGCUUUGGGCGGCACACACAGACGCAGGGUUAUCUUUGUCAGCGGCCUUGGCCUUGAGUCUCGGGCUGUUCUCAACCGUGGCAGCGGGCCCCUCGCAUCCGGCUCUGGACCCUUUGGCAAGGCCUUCCUCUUUCUUCAUCAUUGCUUACCUUCCUGGACAGAAAGAUGCUCUGGACACGCCUGGCAUUUCCCAGGUCCCAGUUCCGGAAAGAUUUUCUUUGUCAAGGGCUUCUUCCUUUUGAGGAGAAACUAUUCUGAGAAUCAAGAUCUUGGCCUGAGGUGUGCUCAUUGCUGCUGAGUGUCAUUGCUUUUGGCCCUUCGUGGACAGAGCUAGGAAAAACAGGUAUCGAUGACAGGUAGGUAGGUAGGUAGGUGAUAGAGAAAUAGAUAGGUGAUAGAUAGAAAUAGAUAUGAUAGGUAGGUAGAUAGAUAGAUGAUAGAUAAAUAGAUAGAUAGAUAGAUAGAUAGAGCAGAAAAUAUACUUGAGUUCUUUCUAAUUCCUCCAGUUCGGUUUUUUAUAGUCUAUUCUUACAGAACAUCACAGUAUAAACCCAUUAUUCCUUAGGGAAGAGCAUGGGAAAUGGGGUGACUUUAUGCAAAUAUUUUGAUAAUUUGGCAAAAGAUUCCCCCAGCGUCCCCCAGCCUACCUGUUCCUGCUGCAGUCAGCAGGGUCAGUACUCAGCGCUGGGACUUGGGAUCAACAGCGAGAGACUCUCCGGGAGUUAGAAUUCACAUCACCAAAUCCCUCGAGGGGGGCAUCACUUCGAGUAAAUUGUGCUCAAUUAGCUCUCACGCCUGGGCCAUUACAGGCCCCUUUGACACCCAUUAAAAGCCAGUGCCCAGGGGUGGCGCACAGGGUGGUGAGUAUUCAUCUGGCCAGCGAGCCGGAGUCUGGGCUGCGGGAUACAGUUCACAAGCACCGCCUGUCCCGCGGCUCCAAACGUCACAUGGCCCCGCACACGGAUCUGCUUUCUGGGCGGGAGGAAAGGCUGCCGCGGGGGCCUCUCCGCCUCUGUCGCUGUCUCCCUCUCACCCCCGUGUGUUUUAAUACACACAAUUUUAAAUAUAUAUAUUAUUGAUUUCAGAGAGGAAGGGAGAGAGAGAUAGGAACAUCAAUGAUGAGAGAGACCCUAGCCGGUUUGACUCAGGAUAGAGCGUCAGCC